GCGGGAGUGGUGAAAUUGGUAGACACGCUGGUUUUAGGUACCAGUGCCAUAGGUGUGUGGGUUCGAGUCCCAUCUCCCGCACCA
rnacentral:tRNA from 3 species